UGGCACAUAAAAGAGAUCUGAAGACACUAGAUGGCGUUCCCAUAUCAAUUCAAUAUGCAGUCUUUUACGCUUGUACAAUGCAACUACUUAUGUUCUUGAGGAUGUAGCUAUUGAAGGGUCUACUUAUUCUCAACGUGGUGAUGCUACUUAUGCUCUUAAAUUGUUGAUAUCAUUUGAAUUUGUUUUCAUCCUACAUUUGAUGAAAGAACUUAUGGGAAUUGCUGAUAAACUUUGUCAAGCUUUGCAGCAAAAGUCUCAAGACAUUAUGCUAUGUGUUUGGUUUCUACUACAAAGUCUUUGAUUCAAAACCUAAGAGAUUAUGGGUGGGAUUCUCUUUUAGAAAAAGUUAAAUGUUUUUGUGAGAGUCGGGCUAUUGCAAUUCGAAAUAUGAGUUCUUCUUUCUCUGACAUAAUUCGAUCUCGUCGUAAAAAAGAUUUUGUGACCGUGGAGCAUCAUUAUCAUGUGGAUGUAUUUAAUUCUGUCAUUGAUUAUCAGUUGAAAUAACUAAACAACAGAUUUGGUGAGCAAGCAACUGAACUUCUUACAUUGAGCACAACUUUAGAUCCUAAAGAUGCAUUCAAGUCAUUCAAUGUUGGUGAUAUUUAUUGUCUGGUUAAGAAGUUUUACUCAUCUGAUUUUUCUGACCAAGAAAAGAUUUAGCUGGAAUAUCAAUUGCAACAUUAUGAUUUUGAUGUGCUUAAAGAUGUCAACUUUCAGAACUUGUCCAUAGUUGGUGAAUUAUGUCAAAAACUAGUUGUGACUGGAAAAUCAAAUGUUUAUCCUUUACUUGACAGAUUGUUCAGAUUGAUUUUGACACUUCCUGUGUCAACAGCAACCACAGAACGUGUUUUUUUAGUGAUGAAAAUCAUAAAAGCAAGAUUGCACAACAAGAUGGAAGAUGAUUUUCUUAUUGACUACAUGAUUGUUUAUAUUGAAAAGGAAAUUGCUGAAAAUUUUACCACAGAUAUGAUUAUUGAUGAAUUUUACUCUAUGAAACAAAGGCGAGUCCAACUUCAAUAUAAUCUUUAAAUUCUGAGGUUCCUUCUUCAUCAGGGAGAUAAAUGGUGGUGUGGUUUGACACUUGCUUCAAUGAGGUGCCAAUUGUUUGUUUGGAGAGAAAAGUUAUUGUUAUUCUCCUUGGUUUUAUAUUAUGUGGCACUACUUUACUACCACUUUUUGAGAUGAAGCUACAAGUUUUUGUUAUUUCUUCUGACAUGUUGUUAUCGGCUUAGUGGCACAUAUAUGCUGUUCAUUACAGCUUCAUCAUCAAUUCCUUCCUCAUCAGGCUCUUCAAGUAAAAGCAACAACAUGAUGAGCUUCAAAGCUCUUUCCCUUUUGUGUAUUUCGUUGGGUUUGUUCUUCCAGAUAUCAUUAGGAGCUGUGAGCACUACAAGUUUAAUGUAGAGUACAUGCUUCGCAGACCAGAUUGUGAAGAGCACAUUGUGAUGGGAAUCAAUGGCCAGUUUCCUGCCCCCACUAUCAGAGCAGAAGUUGGGGAUACCCUUGAUAUUGCACUUACUAACAAGCUCUUCACGGAAGGAACUGUUCUUCACUGGCAUGGAAUUACACAGUAUGGAACACCUUGGGCAGAUGGCACUCCUUCCAUCUCGCAAUGUGCAAUAAACCCAGGAGAAACUUUUCACUACAGAUUCAAAGUUGACAGGCCCGGUACAUACAUCUACCAUGGGCACUAUGGUAUGCAGAGAGCAGCAGGGUUGUAUGGUUCUCGAUCUCAUAGUGGAUUUGCCUAUGGGACAAAAUGAGCCAUUCCAUUAUGAUAGUGAGCUCAAUCUUUUGCUGAGUGAUUGGUGGCACACAAGUGCACAAGAGCAACAGGCUCAACUCUCCUCUAUACCUAACAGAUGGGUUGGUCCUCCUCAGUCUUUUCUCAUUAAUGGAAGAGGACAGUACAAUUGUUCCUUGGCUGCUAGUCUUAUCAACACCACCCUGCCCCAAUGCAAAUUUGAAGGUGGUGAAGAAUGUGCACCUCAGAUUCUCCAUGUUGAUCCAAACAAGACCUACAGGAUUAGGAUUGCUAGCUCCACUUCCUUAGCUAAUCUCAACUUUGCCAUUGCCAAUCACAAAAUGGUGGUGGUGGAAGCUGAUGGAAACUAUGAGGAACCAUUCAUCGUAGAUGACUUAGACAUAUACUCUGGUGAGACUUAUUCUGUUAUCAUCACCACAAAUGAAAACCCAAAUCAAAACUACUGGAUUUCAGUUGGUUUUAUAGGAGAAAAUCUCAAAACCCCACAAGCCCUAACCAUACUAAACUACAAAGAAAACAAUGCCUCAGUUUUUCCCACUUCUCCACCCCCUAUCACACCUCAAUGGGAUGAUUACAAUCGCAGCAAAAUAUUCUCUCAGAAAAUUCUUGCUCGAAAAGGAACCCCACGCCCUCCAAUUUACUAUGACCGUAGGCUUCUCCUUCUCAACACAGAAAGUUUGGUUGAUGGACGCACUAUGUAUGCCAUUAAUAAUGUCACUUUAAUAUUACCUUCAACUCCUUAUUUAGUUUCCAUUAAGUAUAAACUUGAUGAUGCAUUUGACCAAAAAAGCCCCCCUGACAAUUUCUCAUUUGAUUAUGACAUCUACAACUCCCCUGUGUACCCUAAUUCAAAUACUGGGAGUGGAAUCUACAUGUUUCAAUUGAACCAAGUGGUUGACGUGGUCCUCCAAAAUACCAAUAUACUGGAGAGGAUCAAAAGAAGUGACUUUCACCCAUGGCAUUUGCAUGGUCAUGAUUUUUGGAUUUUGGGAUAUGGAGAUGGGAUGUUCAAACCAGGUGAUGAUGAGACCAAAUUCAACCUGGAAAACCCACCACUGAGGAACAAUGCAGUGCUCUUCCCUUACGGAUGGACUGCUUUAAGGUUUAAGGCAAAUAACCCUGGAGUUUGGGCCUUUCAUUGUCACGUUGAGCCUCAUUUGCAUAUGGGAAUGGGUGUGGUUUUUGCGGAGGCUGUUGAAAAUGUGGAAGGAAUACCUUGGGAAACUCUAGCAUGUGGCCUAUUCAGGGGGAUUUCAUGAAGAAAGAACAUAAAUGAUCAACCUUCUAGCCACUCUUGUAUUUGCCCAAUGUUCGUUUAAGUUAAAAUUUCUCUCAUCUUCUUCGUCUUAUGAUUUUGUUGUUGUUUUCAUUUCAUGUUUCUAUUAUGGAGAUCUAGGCUUGUUGAUUCUCUGACAUUUGGUUGUCAGUACCUCUUCACCACUGUUCUUUAAAAUCCAUAUAUCUUGUGAAUUUAUGAUAAA